ensembl:rRNA 5S_rRNA 5S ribosomal RNA
GUCUACGGCCAUACCACCCUGAAUGCACCCGAUCUCGUCUGCUCUCGGAAGCAAAGCAGGGUCGGGCCUGGUUAGUACUUGGAUGGGAGGAGUUUAUCAUUUAAUAAGAGAUUAGAAGUAUAAUCU